rnacentral:rRNA from 1 species
UUGGAGGGCAAGUCUGGUGCCAGCAGCCGCGGUAAUUCCAGCUCCAAUAGCGUAUAUUAAAGUUGUUGCAGUUAAAAAGCUCGUAGUUGAACCUUGGGUCUGGCUGGCCGGUCCGCCUCACCGCGUGCACUGGUCCGGCCGGGCCUUUCCUUCUGGGGAGCCCCAUGGCCUUCACUGGCUGUGGGGGGGAACCAGGACUUUUACUGUGAAAAAAUUAGAGUGUUCAAAGCAGGCCUUUGCUCGGAUACAUUAGCAUGGAAUAAUAGAAUAGGA